UACCAGGAUAUUCCAAUUAUCUCCAGGUGAUCUUCCACCCAGCAAAGUCUGAUUUGGCAGAAGCUGUACUAAUCAUCAUCAGCUGCAUAUUUUCCUAGUCAGCACCCGUACUAGCUGCAUCAAGUGCUGGAGUCAACAAUCCCAUUUUAGCCUGUUUUGUUGCUUUGUUUUUUAAUCACUUCUCUUUCUUGGACUUUCCUUUUUUCUUUUUACUCUUGAUGUGUUUCCCAGACUUCUCUUUGGCUUCUUUUCUGUUGGUCCUAAAUGGGUAAGAUGUCACUCCAUGUGCUGACCUUGGACUUGCUUAUUGACAAUUCUCUUUACCACCAAACUCACCAAAUCCUUGAUAUUCCCCAUGAAUUUAAGUACCUUCUUUUCAUAUCUCUUCUUGUUCUCCUAGAAUGAGCUCCAUGGACUUUUCAACUCUGUUGGGGCGCUUAGAAGCAAAAAGCAGAACAAGUACAUGCCUGGCGCAUUACAGCCUUUGUCUUUAAACAGCUACAAGAAAUACUGAAGUGGCUCCAGAAUUGGAUUAUCACUCAUGACCGGGUGCACAGAAAAAAAGUGUUGGGGAGGAUUCCAGAGGAAGACAGUACUGCAUGAAAUUAAGCACCAAUGUACUCUCAUGCUAUGUCUUCCCUCCAAAUUGUUCCCAAUCUUUACUGCUUUACAGAAGUUUAGUGGAGUUCCAAAGUCUCAGACCUAGAUUGUCAUUUAAUAAUACAAAGUUUUGUAAAGUUAAAUUUUUAGCUAAAAACUCCAACCAGCAAGAUUAUUAGUCAUGUUGGCUGAGAUCUGUAAUCUACCAAUCUCUGCUUAAAGCCUCAUUUGGCUCUCAUCAUGAAUAAGCCUUCAUUCUCACUCUUAUUGGGACUAUAGUCAAUAAGACUGCACCCAAGCACUUCAUGAAAAUUCAGAACAUCUAAAAAUCCUUCUAAACAAAACUUGCACUGACAUGCAAAAGAUGAUGUUCUGUACUUAUCUUGGUCAGACCACACCUGGAAUACUGUGUCCAAUUUUGGGCACCGCAGUUGAAGGGAGAUGUUGAUAAGCUGGAAAGCGUCCAGAGGAGGGCAACUAAAAUGAUUAAGGGUUUGGAGAACAAGCCCUAUGAGGAGCGGCUUAAAGAGCUGGACACGUGUAGCCUGCAGAAGAGAAGGCUGAGAGGAGACAUGAUAGCCAUGUACGUGAGGGGAAGUCAUAGGGAGGAGGGAGCAAGCUUGUUUUCUGCUGCCCUGCAGACUAGGACACGGAACAAUGGCUUCAAACUACAGGAAAGGAGAUUCCACCUGAACAUCAGGAAGAACUUCCUCACUGUGAGAGCUGUUCAACAGUGGAACUCUCUCCCCCAGGCUGUGGUGGAGGCUCCUUCUUUGGAGGCUUUUAAGCAGAGGCUGGAUGGCCAUCUGUCGAGGGUGCUUUGAAUGCGAUUUCCUGCCUCUUAGCGGGGGGGUUGGACUGGAUGGUCCAUGAGGUCUCUUCCAACUCUACUAUUCUAUGAUUCUAUGAUUCUGUGAAACCAAGUCAAGUUAUAUUUGUUUAUUACAUGAAAUAUCAGGUGACAGUUCAGGUGACUGAACUGAACAUUAAUAUGUAAACCACAUUAUGACUCAAGGUAAGUAAACAAUUACUGAUGAUUAAUUAUGAAUUUUGCUGCAUUUUUAUAUCUCAAUAUUUACUUGUAUGUCCAGGGCUCAAAUUACUCAUUAUCAAUUUAAUCUUUCAUUUAAUAACGUAAUCGUGAAAUGAGUAUACCAUAGUUUAACGAUACGUGCCAGAACUGCAGUGGGCUUCUGGUUCACAGGAUUCAAACAAUUUGUUUCUCUUUUUAAGCUAACCACGGUUAUUCAUUAUGGAAUGGAUCCCAACUGAGGAGCUACUGGAAUCGACAUAUAUCCCUUUAUUCCUGGAUAAGAUAAUUGCCACUGAUCUGAAUGGGUCUUGAUGGAGAUUAAGUAUUUCCAUGUCUAGAUAAAACCUUCUAUCUCGACCAGGAUAGAUGAUAGUGAUAAAUGAUAACUAUAGGGCGGCAAAACAAAUUCACAUCAAAGUCUAGUUAAUGAUCUUAGCUAACAACACUGAUUAAACUAGUCCCCUCCAGGCAUUUUGGACUCCUAUCAGCCCCAAUGUGUAUGUCUAAUCAUCAGAAAAGAGAGAAGGAUAUGGAGUCAAGCAGACUUCCCUAAACUGCAGCUAACACUAAACAUAAUUUUCAGUUGAGUACCUGUGGCUAGCUGUAAAUGCAAGCUAAAAUAGGAUUUGCUUGCAGGCACAUGAGAGGACAUUCAUGCACAUAAUAAAACUUUCAGCAUUGUCUGAUGACCAGACCAAUGGGUAAAGGAGUUCAGCACUUCAAGGAGAGCCUCACAAUUUCUCCAAAAUUCCAAGUACAUACAAUGAUCUGGGGGUGUGAGUGUUGAAUAGUUAUUAAAACCCUCACUUUUCUCAUCACACUAGAGCAUGGAUCCACUUUAAAUUCAGUUUCUGCCUCCUGCAGAAUUCUAGGGGUUGUAGUUUAGUGAAGACCUGUCUGACUGAGCAGUUCAAAGGCCUCCCUCCAAGCAGCUGGAUUUAAAGUGAUCCAUGCUCUAAUAUGAAGAGGUUCCAAAUGUAGUAGAAAAGUUUUGUAGUCUACAUUAGUAAACUGCAAAACUGAGAUGUGCAUACUCUAGAGCGGUGGUUCUCAACCUGGGGUCCCCAGAUGUUUUUGGCCUACAACUACCAGAAAUCCCAGCCAGUUUCCCAGCUGUUAGGAUUUCUGGGAGUUGAACCCAAAAACAUCUGGAGACUCCAGGUUGAGAACCACUGCUCUAGACAGAAGACUAAAUAGCCCACAGAUCAUACCCAGUUCUUUCAACACUAGAAAAGAGGAGAAUCCCAUAGCCGAUCCUUAGGCAUCCAUCCCUCCAGCUAUGCCAUUUCUCCACUGUUCAGUAAAAAAAAACAUGCCAGUAGGAAAGAUGGGCCGAGUUUGUACUGUCAGCUGAUCAACAAAGAACAGCUGGCACUCUGCCCUUUUCCCCCCAACCAUUCUUUUGUUUCAACCUGUCAUUGGAGCACCACUGAAGAGCAAUGAAGGAUGGAUUGUAAGUGCAGGAACAUUAAAGCCAUUGCUCUCCUAAAGAAAAUUGCUGCAUCACACUACUCUCAUGCUGCUGCUAGAUACAGAAAUGUAGCAGGCUAGAAAAGGAAGAAUGGGCAACUUUGUCCUGCAAUUUGCAUAGGUUAUAAAGGGGGGCUCAUAUGCCUCUGGCAAGGGAGCACCUACCACAAGAAUGUAUAGGCACUAGCAUUACCAUAAAUUUAACACCUUUCCUCAGGCAAGAAACUGUGUGUGCACAGAUGGUGUGCCAUGCCAUUUGGAAGAGUAGGGUCUGACAAAUAAGAGUGGGAGGAGAGGAAAAUACUUGAUGCUCCUAAUGCUCCUCUUUUGAGACUUGAACUGGAUUGAUACUAUGUGGCCUGAUUUUGUACUUGAAAGGCCUUUCAGGCCUUAUCAGCAAAACUGAUUAAUGCUUUUUGUCCUUCUUGACAUGCUCUUGUGCCCCCCCCCCCCAAAUAUCCUCAUGUAUAUCAGCUUGGAAGGAGGAUAGGCUCCUCAUUAAUUUCCCCUAACCACUGCAGGUACAUGGACUCAAAUUACAUCCAACUGAGGCACAGUCCUAAUUUUAAAAACAGUGGUUCAGCCCACAUCAGAAGAAUGUUGUUUUCCUUUUCAAUCUUUAUAUAUAUACUAGCUUGGAGACCCGGCGGUGCCCGGGUUAUUAGAAGAAAGCAUUGUUUGUUUUGGGAUGUUAGGUAAUAUCAGUCAAGUUUGGUCCAGAUCCGUCAUCAGCUGGGUUCAGGGCUCUCUGGAUAAGGGUGAACUACAACUCAGAUCUGUGGUAAAUCACCCCCAAAUCAGGCCUAUAUGCACAGUUGGCCAUGUUGGGUCUGUGCGCCAUGUUUGGUCCAGAUAGGAUGUCAGCUGGGUUCAGUGCUUUCUGGAUGCAGGUGAACUAUAACUCCCAAAAUCAAGGUCCAUUCCCACUAACCCCUGAAGUAUGUUCAAUUGGCCGUGUGACUUUUCUGUGCCAAGUUUGGUCCCAGUCCAUUGUUGGUGGGGGGUCACAGUAUCAGUGAAGGUACUGCAAGUCCCAUUAUCCGUGGCAAGUUUGAUCCAGAUCCAUUAUUGGUUGGUUUAACAGUUUUCUCUGGAUGUAGGUAAAUCAUGUUUACUCUUGUAAAUCAUGGUGAAUUCUCCCCAAACCUCUUGUUCAGUUGCUGACCAAUUCCUCUGUGAACUGUAUGCUAUAGGAAAGGGUUAAGGUAUGGGCAUGGGUGGGGUCAUGCAAAUUAAGGAACCCUGGAUGUCCAUUCUGGAGGAAAAACAGAACAUCUAGAAUGAAAUAGUCCCCGCAUGAAAGCCUUCAUUGGGCGGGGGGCCGAAUGGUGUUUGUGGAGGACACUGGCAGAGUUUGGGCUAUAUAUUCAUGGUGCUCACUAUAACCUGCAUGUCAAUGGAGGGAGAGCCAUUGGUGUCUCCUGCUCAGUGAGAACUAUAGCUGUUUGUGGAGGCGGGAGGCUGUCUGUAAGUGGACACUUCUUCCACAUACACACAUACACAUUUUUCACUUUUAUUAUGUGUAUAGAUAUAUAUAGAUAUUGCUAUGUAGAGCAUCAGCACAGUUGUAAUUUAAGCUUUCCAGAAAUGGAGCUGACCUGUGAUGAUGGUGAAAUGUCUUCCGCAGAGUUCACAGAACAGAAGGAAAACCUGUUUUGGCAUUAUGAGUAAGAUGGGAAAAGCACAGACAUUUUCAAUACAACUUAGCUUAAAUGGAAAAAGCAACGAACUUUUUAAAAAAUUAGCUACUACCAAUAGGAUAUGUCCAUGCAUCAUUUCUAAACUUAAAGUCCUAUUGUCAGGAAUACCCAUGAUGGUAUUUCCUCUAAAUGGCUCCUAUGACACCCCCUCCUCUUGUUUGCAUUGAGGCUUUGCCAAAAAGCUAUUUAUCAACCAGUGAGAGUAGUUGGAAAGCACAAGGAGAGUAUGGGGGUGGGUGGGAGGGUGAGCAGAAGAACUGAACCAUCUGGGACUGAGGAAGAAGAAAGUGUCAUCAUUGUAUUGAUCUGACUGCAGUGUUGAUUGCCCUGCAGUGUCCCAGCCUACGAGAGACAAGAGAGAAGGGAUUGCAGAAGAGUCUUGCACAACUGGACUCAUGGGGCAGAAGAGCGAUUACUCAACGCUGGGAGACAAUUAGUGUUAUGCCUCCUGCUCUUGUCCAGAAUCACAACCAGGGCAAUAUUUCAUAGUCAGUGAUGCAGCUAAUAAGCCAAGGACCUCUGCUCUUUUUGCCAGGGAGUCUAAGCAAUAAGCAAAACUGUCAGGGAAGGCAAAGUGGUAUACGUGUGUGUCCUAUUUCAUUUUCCUUUUUGAUUAAACUACAGAAGUUUACAAAUAGAAAAAUUAGCCUUCAACCUUCCUGCCUGUCCUUCAUUCACCCAUUCCAUACCAGCAGUGAGGAGGAUUUUUGAGGAGAGCUUGGUAAAGAUAAUGUUACUCAUUAUGACAUUUAAAAAUCAGUACGUUACUUUUAGCAAUUUAAAGCCAACAAUGUUAAGUGUUAACAUUAUCACAACAUAUUGUGGUGGCUUCUCAGCUCCAGGGAUUCCUUGAAGAAACUGACCAUUUAGAUCAAUUGCAGUCUGGUUUCAGGCCUGGCCAUGUCACGGAGAUGGCUUCGCUCGUCGGGGAGGCCCUCCUCUCGCUUUCACCACCUUCGCAAUCGCGGUUGGUGGGGACGAGAGAGAGGGCCUUCUCCGUCGUGGCCCCCCGGCUUUGGAACUCGCUCCCUAGGGAGAUCAGGCAGGCCCCUACCCUACUCUCCUUCCGGAAGAGCCUAAAAACCUAGCUCUUCCAAAAGGCCUUCGAGGAUUAAUCAUUGUAGGUUGAUUUAUCUGCCCACUCAACAAUAGGAUGCCUGGCAAUUAUUACUUUGCACUUUAUUGACUAUUUUAGCUAUGAAUCUACCUCUCCUAUGUGAAGUUUUCUGCACUUUGGCCCAGAUCUGUGUUUUAGCCUCCUGUUUUUAGCAUUUUAUGCAGUAUGCUGACUUUUAUGACUGUUUUACUGAUGUUGAUGUCUUAUUGAUGUGGAAUUGUUUUACUGUUUUAUCGCUGUUAUUGUACUUUUAUGUCUGGCAUGGCCCCAUGUAAGCCGCUCCGGGUCCCUCCGGGGAGAUGGGGCGGGGUAUAAAAAUAAAGUUAUUAUUAUAUUAUUA